GAAUUAAACCCAAACCGAACCCAAACCAAAGCUACUUUGGUUUUAAUUGGUUUGAGUUUUAUAAAACCCAAAUUACCCAAACCAAACCAAACCCAAACCGAACCCGAAACUAAACCGAAAUGUCCAUCCCUACUUACAAGGCGCAUGUCUUCGUCUAGUUGAUUUUAUAUUUCUAUAGCAUUUUGAUAUAUUUCGUUCAUAUCAUUGUCGCAUUCAAAAGCAAAAAUAAAAUAUUUUUUGCCUCAUAGUUUUAGGAAAGUGGGUCCAAAGCAUUUUGAUAUUUUGUUUGCAUAAAAAUUCCACCACUGCCCCUUAUAAGCACUUAACUACUUUGUGUGUUUUAUAUCAGGUACCAUGGACGAGGAAGAUCACUCUUGGGAAGAAGAGCAAUCCAUGCUUGAUGAAGAACAAACUCAUGACAAUAUAAUAUACAGAAGUUACAUUCGUCUUUUUCUAUCUAUGCGUCACGAGUUCUUUGCCAGCACGUUGAGAAACACCCAUUAAUUUGAAGCUGAAACACGGAAGUCUCUUGGAAUCUAGAGCUGGGUUCUUCGAUUCUCAGCUUCCUAAGCCUGGGGUUCACUGGGUGAAGUAACUUAUGAACUGUCCUUACUUGCCUCGCAAAGGAACACUGGACAACUCAGGAAAAUGAUGAGUACAUCUAUUACAAGAGCUUCUCCUAGAAGUAAUCAGUGCUUUGUUUGUUACAAUUUUUUUUAAAUUUGUAAAACUUCUAAUCCAAUAAGCUCCUGAUGACAUGUAGCAUAGUAACUGGAUGAUUAAUUUGAUAGGUGAUCUACUAAACAAAAAAUUAGUUUAAAAUCUACAAGAUCUAUUGACUCCUAUUUAGGUUAAAGAUCUGCAUCCAUCUACGUGGCCAUUUCCUCUCCUUUCCAAUUUAUUCAACUUCAGCACAUCUCAUAAGCGAUCAAUCAAUCAAGCAAGCAAAAGCAGGUAUUAUUAACCUACAUCUCACCCCACCGUAAU
rnacentral:lncRNA from 1 species